rfam:Dipodomys ordii contig_40370, whole genome shotgun sequence.
GGGAAGGUGGCUCAGUGGUAGAGUGCUUGCCUUGCAUGCAUGACACUCUGGGUUCGAUUUCUUAGCCCUUCAU